AGCAUUUUCUUUCUUUUUGUUGAGGUAAAUCACAAAUCUCUCAUUCUCGUUGUUACCUUGAUGUUUGGUUGUGAUUUAGAAGCUUGAACCUUCCUCUUUUACGUAGAUUUUGCUUUAGAAAUCAGUGUGGGUGAACACACCCAUUUUUCCGGCGAACCGUGGACUUUGGGAGCUUUUUCCGGUCACCUCCGACCGAGUUAUGGUUUUUGGAAGGUAAAGUUGCUAUUAAGGAAAUUCGUAAUCCUGAUUCGCACGAUUCUUCUGCUAAGGAAUAUUUGACUUAGAAUCAAGGCACCUAAUCCCGGCGUGAAGACACUUCUGCAGCAGCAUCUUCGGAUCCUCUCGAUGUAGGACCCA